AGGAAAUAGAUACCCUGGUAGUCCCAGCCGUAAACGAUGCUCGCUAGGUGUCAGACAUGGCGCGACCGUGUCUGGUGCCGCAGGGAAGCCGUGAAGCGAGCCACCUGGGAAGUACGGCCGCAAGGCUGAAACUUAAAGGAAUUGGCGGGGGAGCACAACAACGGGUGGAGCCUGCGGUUUAAUUGGACUCAACGCCGGACAACUCACCGGGGACGACAGCAAAAUGUAGGCCAGGCUGAAGACCUUGCCUGAAUCGCUGAGAGGAGGUGCAUGGCCGUCGCCAGUUCGUACUGUGAAGCAUCCUGUUAAGUCAGGCAACGAGCGAGACCCGUGCCCACUGUUACCAGCAUAUCCUCCGGGAUGAUGGGUACUCUGUGGGGACCGCCGGUGUUAAAUCGGAGGAAGGUGCGGGCCACGGUAGGUCAGUAUGCCCCGAAUUUCCCGGGCUACACGCGGGCUACAAUGAAUGGGACAAUGGGUCCCUACCCCGAAAGGGUUGGUAAUCUCACAAACCCAUCCGUAGUUCGGAUCGAGGGCUGUAACUCGCCCU
rnacentral:rRNA from 1 species